UACGUAGGGUCCGAGCGUUGUCCGGAAUUAUUGGGCGUAAAGGGCUCGUAGGCGGUUUGUCACGUCGGGAGUGAAAACUCAGGGCUCAACCCUGAGCGUGCUUCCGAUACGGGCGGACUUGAGUGUUGCAGGGGAGACUGGAAUUCCUGGUGUAGCGGUGAAAUGCGCAGAUAUCAGGAGGAACACCGGUGGCGAAGGCGGGUCUCUGGGCAACUACUGACGCUGAGGAGCGAAAGCGUGGGGAGCGAACAGG
rnacentral:rRNA from 1 species